UCAGAAUACGGGCCUCUGAGUUAAUGAUCAAUAUACAUGUAGGUCUAAUUGCAGUUUGGUCUGCUUCUUAGACAAUCUUAUACCACAUUAAGUCUAAACUCUAUGAUGGACAAGGUCUAAUUGCAGUUUAGUCUGCUUUGCUUCUUAGAUAAUCUUAUACCACAUUGGUUAAACCCAUUUAGUCUAUGAUGGAUAAGGUCCAAUUGCAGUUUGGUCUACUUCUUAGAUAUUCUUAUACCAAAUAGACUUACCCUUAGUAUAUGAUCAAUAAGGUCUAAUUGCAGUUUGGUCUGCUUCUUAGUCUUGUACCAAACGGGCUAAAUCCAUUCACUCUGUGAUCAAUGUGGAUCUAAUUGCAAUUUGGUCUGCUUCAUAGUCUUUAUGGACUAACCAUUCAGUCUAUGAUAAAUAAGUUCUAAUUGCAGUUUGGUGUAAACCAUUUAGUGAAAUUUUUAUUUAGUCUUUCUGGUUGGUUUAAUCUUUGUCUUAUUUUUUACAUUGUAAAAUCAAAAUUUGGCUCAGAAGGACAUCUAACCACAGACUAUUGUUUUUAGACUAGGUGGAUAUUAGACCAAAUGAGUAUAGUCCAAAUGAUAUAGACAAAAUGACAAAUGAUUAGUAGAUGAACUGGUUGUUGACAUAGCCGUUUGUCAUGAGGAAGAUCCAAAAUAAAGUAAUUGUACCCCCCCCCUCCCCCAAAAGAAUUAAGUGUUAAAAACUAGAAAUAUAUAUAUAUUGUUUUGAUGGGGGAAGAAAUAAAAAGAAGACAUAUGACCAUGGACAAUACUAUGAGCUUCCUUUGAAAUAACUAGUAUUGUGUGUUUUAUUUGCAUUAUUAAAGUUUUAAUUGGGCUAAGA